UACGAAGGGGGCUAGCGUUGCUCGGAAUCACUGGGCGUAAAGCGCACGUAGGCGGAUUCUUAAGUCAGGGGUGAAAUCCUGGAGCUCAACUCCAGAACUGCCUUUGAUACUGGGAAUCUCGAGUCCGGGAGAGGUGAGUGGAACUGCGAGUGUAGAGGUGAAAUUCGUAGAUAUUAGGAAGAACACCAGUGGCGAAGGCGGCUCACUGGCCCGGUACUGACGCUGAGGCGCGAAAGCGUGGGGAGCAAACAGG
rnacentral:rRNA from 1 species